rfam:TPA: Bos taurus chromosome 21, whole genome shotgun sequence.
UCCCUGGUGGCUUAGAUGAUAAAGUGUCUGCCUACAAUGUGGAUGAUCCAGGUUCAAUCCCUGGGUUGGGAA